GUGAAUAGAAACCUAUUCUUAUGAAAACAACUGCCUUACAGAAGAAUUUAGUGCCAAGAAGCGAUGUUUUACGUUUUGAUUAAUCUUCUAAAUGUUUGGCUUAAUAAAGGACAGAUGAGGGUUGAAGGCGGCCUUGCACGACCAGUUGAACCGGCUCAAGGUUGAAGAACUAGCCCUCCAAUCAAUGAUUAGUUCUAGGAGAGGGGAUGAGAUGUUGUCUUCUCAGCCUGCCCCUGAACAGUCACCUGAUAUGUUGGUUCAUGUUGACAAUGAAGCAUCAAUCAACCAAACGGCACUGGAGUUGAGCACAAGGAGCCAUGUGCCCAAAGAGGAGGAGGAGGAAGAGGAAGAGGAAGAAGAAUCAGAUUCCUGAAGCAGGAUAGGGAAGAACCAAGCUUAGUUACAGGAACUAAGUUACUACAUCUGAGGAACUUUUGUCUCUUCAAGAAAAUUUUCUUUCCAUGGGCCCUCUGGUCGGCUUUAAAAGGAAUAAGAACUUUAGGUUGUGUAGUCGUGAAAAUGGUUCCAUCAAGAACUCAAGUUUCAGAACACUUUAACAAAAAUUAGUGCCAUAUGGAAAAGCAGACAUGCAGUGUCUUAGCAUUGAGCAAUACGGGUGGUACCGUAACUAUAUUCUGGUCAGAUUUAGUAAUUAUGCUCAAAACAAAGUUUCCUCUAAAAUGCUAUUGAGAAAGUCUGGCAUUUGCACAAAGGACAGAGUUUAAAUACAAGCCAGCCUUUCCAGUCAGCAAUACCUCUUUUAAGAAAACCAAUUAAAGAUUCUGUGGAUGCCACUGAACUAUUGUGAGCAGAGCAAGGCUGAGGUCUAGGAGAGGACGACAAGUGAGGAGCCAGAGGGCCACUUGAGAACUCAAGCUGCUGCCACCUCUCGGUGGAGCAGGUAGGAACUCUCUACUGUAGAGGGCUUUGUGGGGGCUGCCAUCACCUGUAGGUUGAGACAUCACAGUGGAAAAAUGUGCUUAGAAAUAAAGUACAGAUAGGGGUGCCUGGGUGGCUCAGUGGGUUAAGCCUCUGCCUUCGGCUC